UGAGGAAUUUUGCGCAAUGGGGGAAACCCUGACGCAGCAACGCCGCGUGAGUGAUGAAGGCCUUCGGGUCGUAAAGCUCUGUCGAGUGGGAAGAAUCCACCUUUCGCUAAUAUCGGAGGUGCUGACGGUACCACUGGAGGAAGCACCGGCUAACUCUGUGCCAGCAGCCGCGGUAAUACAGAGGGUGCAAGCGUUAUUCGGAAUCACUGGGCGUAAAGGGCGCGUAGGCGGUCCCUUAAGUCAGGCGUGAAAGCCCGGGGCUAAACUCCGGAAGUGCGUCUGAAACUAGGGGGCUUGAGUACGGGAGAGGGAAGUGGAAUUCCUGGUGUAGAGGUGAAAUUCGUAGAUAUCAGGAGGAACACCGGUGGCGAAGGCGACUUCCUGGACCGAUACUGACGCUGAGGCGCGAAAGCGUGGGGAGCAAACAGG
rnacentral:rRNA from 1 species